CUGCAUUGUUGCUGAAAUCAAGAAAUCAGUUAUUCCGGGCAAAUUUUCUGUCACCAUGAGACUUGGGAAAACAGGAGCAGAAAUAUAUACAUCUAUCCUGUCUACAUGAAUACUGUGAGUGUCCACAAUUCUUGCCUACCAGAAGAUGACCUACAGAAGUCUUGAGAUAAACCAUUGAGUGGCUUGGAGUCUGAGGUGGUCUGUCAAGAACUUGAGGAAUGCUGGUGUAACAAGUCUGAUAGAGUAGGAAUUAACUUCUCUGAACUAUCUCUACUGUAUAGCUUUUCAGACUGUAGUUCCAAAGCAUGACUACUCUUACCAGGACUUGUCAUAUUGAGAGAGCAGUCUUAAGAUGAAAAAAUAAUUGCUGCUGAAAGAAAAACACCAACAAAAAAGACAUAACCCAAUAUCUCCAAAACAACUCCAUGUGUAUGUGGUUUUGUUUAUAAUUAAG